GCUUAUAAGGCCUUAUGGGCAUCUGCAGGACAGUGAAGUCCAAACAAAAGAACAAAGUAGCAUGCAUUUAUACACACGCACACACAUACAUAUGGUUAGAUUAAACCCUGACUGGAUUGAAAGGCAAGGGAUAAAUGACUUUUGGUCUAAAAGAAGACACGGGGUUACUGCAAUUUAGAUUCUUCAUUAAUUGCAUCAGAAUUUAUUGUCUCCGGAGUGUGAACCUCGUGGCCUUCCCUCUUUACCGUCAGUUCUCCACUUCCAUGUAAGGAAAUCUAUUCCCACAGUGGCCAGCAGAGUGCAGAAGUGUCCGUAUGAAGUGAGGAGGGCCUUUUUAAGUGCUUUCAUGUAGGCCUUUCACCUUGGAUAAACCCUGGAUAAUCCCUCCAGAAAAGGUAGCAUUUAUUCACCCCAAGAGGGCGCUUCUCUCUGCGGCGCUGGAGAGUGCAGGGCUGCCAAGGCCAUGAUUUCACACGAGACGGACCAUUUGUCAGGAUAAAUGGCUGUUUUAGUGUCGUUGGAGACGGGAGCAUUAUAUCUACCCGCACGGUCUCCGUUGGGGCGUUGCGCUGAGGCUCUGUGAGCCAGACUGAAACUUGGGAAAUGGAGGAUUGAUUUUUAUAAGUAGUUGAAAGUUAACGAUAUCCCUUCACUUUUGUGACAGUAAUGGCCAUUUAUUAUUAGCAGCCAAGGCAUGACUCCGGGAUUCUGUUUUCCCCCCAACAUUCGUUUUGAGUUCAAUCACGAUACAACGAGCACCAAUGUCGCAUCUUUCAGGGGAACUGUGCAGCCACGUGUCACAGAAGUAUCAAAAUCCAGGAAGACCAAUGAAGUCAAAAUUGGCUGAACAUCCAAAGUUACAGGAAUACGUAAACAAGAACGGGUAGCCGUUAAGGCCAGUCUUGGAGCCAAAACAGCUACCAUCCGUAUUUACUUGGCGAAUGAAGUUUCCCAGACGAUGUCAGAUUUCACCUGCAGCUACAGACAGCGAAAAAGGAAGCCCGGCGGCCUCACCUGGGUGACCGUCUGCUCCGUCAAAGGCACGUCAUCCCCCUGCAACAGAGAGCAAAGCCUGAGCCCUGAACCCUGACCCAGCGCGUACACCCAGCGCGCGGCGGUGCGGAGCGGAGCGGAGCGUACUGCUUACCCUGAGGGCCACGCGGUGGACCACCUGCUGGGGAUCGCUCU